CUCUCCUUGCAUGCAGGGACCCUGGGGCUUGUGUGUUUCCUCCAGAAGCAACCAUGGGACUUCGGAGGCUAAAAGAGUGUGGGAGCAACCUGCCCGCAGGUUAGGGUAGGGGCUCACAUCUCUGCCGUUGUUACCUCGUCUGGAGCUACUUGGAUCAAAGCAGAAUCUUCUCUACUUCGCUUGAUCCCUGAGCAGACGGUGGGCAGCUCCCGGGUGGGAGAGUAUCUCCACCUCUGGGGUCUAGUACAGACCGGGGGCAGGUCAGUCUUCAGGGAGAGCAUCAGUAAGCAAACAAGGACACCUCUCGUCGUACUAAUGCCAAUAAUGUUGACAACUAACCUCAUCGCAUAAUUGCCAAACGCCAGCUCUGAGAGCUUCCUGGAUUGCUUUCGUCUAAUUUUCAUGUUAACGUGAUGAUGCAGGUCUUAUUUUGAUCUCCAUUACCAAGUUUUUUUUUUAUGUGUUUUAUUUUUUAUCUUUGAGAGAGAGAGACAGACAGACAGACAGACUGUGAGCAGGUGAGGGGCAGAGAGAGAGAGGGAGAUGCAGGCUCCGAAGCAGGCUCCAGUCUCCGAGCUGUCAGCCCAGAGCCCGACUCGGGGCUCGAACCCAUGGACUGUGAGAUCAUGACCUGAGCCGAAGCUGGCCGCCCAACUGACUGAGCCACCCAGGUGCCCCUUGAUCUCCAUUUUAGACAUGGGAGUACUCAGUCACAGAGGGGUUACAUAACCCACAUGCUCCCUUCCACACGGCUAACGAGCGGCACCCAGAAGGUAAAUGCUGGCACCCUCGCUGUAGAACCCGAGAUCCUCACUGCUGUGGACACAGCCUCCUCUUUCCCCCCAGGCUCCUAUCCUGGGUCUCAGGACUGGGCUCAGGGACCUCGGCUACGAGUCUAGUAGAGUUUACGUUGACCCUUCCGAUACUCUGGCAUUUCUUCCUGGGUAUUGUAUAGAUUGGAUGCAGUUCUGAGAGCCUCUCAGCGCCCUGAUUACAUUGUUGGUUUAUGCUGCUUUGGUUUCAGGUCAUGAGGCAAGAAGGAAACCGUCUCGAACUCCCGCCAAGCCGUUCUGCCCAGCGAGCCUCUUCCCACAAGCGUGGGGCUCCGGGCGCGCCCGAGGCCCCCGCCAGCCGAGGCGCUUUCCUGCCUUCAAAGGCCCACCUUGAGUGCAUGCCAGAAUCCGGCAACAGAUUCUGGUCCAACUCAUGCAAACCGCAGAACUCCAAGGCGGUUGAGGCCACGGAACACUGAGUUGAGAUCAAGUGGCUUAAUACCAAAAGAAAACAUCUUCAAAGUUUUGUCGGAGGGAAAGCCAAACAGAGAUAAUGUUGAAGUCUCCAGCUUGCUAGUUCCUUUCUGUUUGGUCAGCGCUUGAUAGGAUAUGAUGUCUGAGUGCCCACAGCUUUAUCGUCGGAGAGCCUCUGCUUUGCUGGGUCCAGGACGAGGGUCAUUCCAGCUCAGCAGUGAGUGAAUACUCUUGACCAUAAAACUCUCUGCCAACGAAAGACAUUGUAAAUAUAGAGCAACGCAGUCUGGUGGUCAUGGCUAAGGGACUUCCAGGCCAUGGUGGUGGAUGGAGUGCAGGAUUUCCAUCUCUUGAGGACCAACCCGAAGAACAAAAUUGCAAAAGCCGAGAAAGAGUCCCAGCGGCAAAGUAAUCAAGCAUGAGAAGUUGCAAAAUGUGACGUUGUAUCCCGUCAGAGGCAGGGGCUGCCAUUGAGGUUGACCGUCUCCACAAGUGUUCACCAGAUGGUCCAUGACGACGAUGGUCACAGGGUAGAAAGGAUGGAAUUCUAUGAAUUUCUUGGUGCUCAGUUUCAACUCAGCAGGCAAGUCAUCUUCUUUCAGAUGCUCCCAUCCCUCCGCUCUGUGGCGUGGCCAUAUUCUCGAGAGCGCUCGUGGUUCAUUCUGCACCUUCAAGGGCUGAUAAGCAACCUGCCGGACCUCUCUGCUCCCAGAGUCGAAUAGGCCACUCACACAUCUUUGCAUUUUGACCCAGUGGUCUCUUGGCUGUGUCCCCAGCGUGCUCUCUUGCAAAUGUGUGCACAUGCCUCAUUCUAGAAGAUAUGAUUACGAUGUGGGACCCUGUGUCUCUGUGCAGCUUGAUGCAUCUCCCAGCCAAGAAUGGGCAUGAGAAGCCGGGAAGACCCGAGUCUGAAUCCUGACUAUAUUAAUUUCUAGCUGUGUGAUCUGGAUGGAGCUACUUAAUUUCUCCGAACAGCAGAUUCCUUUAUCUGGACAGCGGUGCUAAAACCCUUUCUUCCAGCGCAGGGGACUGUUAAAGAAGAUGCUCAAACGGUGUCUGGGUCCUAGUACACGUCAAAAACUUUUGUCUGAUCCAAGAAGUGGACUUAUAACCUUUCUCUCCUAACAUUUCAUGAAGUCAUCACAUGCUGGAUGUGCAGUCCUCAGGUAUGAUUUUCUCCCCAUUUUAGUGGGGAUUUCCCCCAACGCACUCUAUUUUCUACAUAAUUUUUGGAAGCAUUCGAAUAUAUGUUCAGUGUUAGUAGUCUCUUUCUCUCUCCCCUUUCUCUUACAGCCGAUGACCUGGCCCGAGUCUUCACUUGGGAGUAAGGACCAGUGCUAAAGUUCUAAGCUACAGAAGUCUGCAAUCUGCAGUCGCCAGGCACGACCUAGCGCCAUUCUACUGUUGGCGUGACCCCCGUAAGACCAGAGGAUGCUGCGCUCUGGGCCUCGAAGGCACCAACGUGAAUCCCUACCCUGAUUCUUCCCAGGAGACGCGAAGCGUUGAAAAUUAUAUUCAGCUGCAGGAGUUUUCAGCCUCACAUUCGGAAAGAGCAGAAGUUGCUAGAGGCUAUUUUCAGAGAACUCCUAAUAAGUACAGAACCCAAAUACAGACAUGGUUGUUAACACCCUGGGAAAUGCCAAAUCCAAGCUGGAUCGCAGCCAGCAGAGAAAUGGAAAGUCCUAGAUAGCUUAUCUCAGAGCCAAUCUGUAUUACGCGGGAGGCGCAAGAGGCAAUUGCACGGGAGGACACGAGCUCUCCUUCUAGGCUCUGCAUCAGCGCCUUGGACCAACAACAUCAAGGUGCAUCGGGCAUUUUCUGAAUCUGCGAGUAGGUCCCUUGUCCUGCUCUGGGUUCUAUCCUGUGCUUCCAGCCUUCUUCUCCUUCAACCCACCCGUUCUUCUGACCCGUUUCAUUCAUUCCUGGGGCUUCAGGAACCUUCUCUCCCUCAACAAAUGACUCCUUGUGAUAGAUCUCCAGGCUUGAGUUUUUAAACAAGUUUAUUCUAUUUAUUUGUUUGUUUGUUUAUUUAUUUAUUUAUUGAGAGAGAGAGAGAGAGAGGAGAGAGAGGAG